CAUAGACUGUAUAUUUUUGGCCACCACCUAAAAUUGGCGCUGUUUAGUCCCAUUGUCAGAAACGAAGAAGAAUUCAAACAGGCGGAAGGCGGAGACAGGAGAAAGGCACCGGCGUAUCUGGUCCUGGACACAACUUUGAACGGUGAAUAAUGGUGUCAGAGGAGAAGGAGCAAGAGGUGGCGUGGAGGGAGCUGCGCAGGAGGAAGAGGAUGGAGGAGGUGGAGGAGCUGACCACUGCGGGACACAACGCUCUGUAAUCGGGACCAACCCAGGAGGCGCUACCGUUUCAGAGGAUCAAAGGAGACUGAAGGCAGCCCGCCAGGUUUCCACGCAGCGGCUUAGGACUAAUUCUACAUCUGGACCUUAAGGACGGCUCUGAAGGACCAUGUGCACGGUGGGAAUGGAGCAUGGGACAGACCUUUGCCAAUCAAAGGAAACAGGUGGAGAGGGGUCACCUGCCAGCCCAAGUAUUGGAGACAGUGAUGGCAGCCAAGGACUAAUGCCUCCUCUAUGAGGAGGUAAUCUACCUGCUGGACUCCCUGCUUCGGACAUUCCUACAGAAGGGUGUGUAUGGCAUCACCACACCAUAUGAUGUGUUGACUGCAAGGGUGAAAGAACUCCUGGGACUUAUCAAAGCGAUUUGAAGAAAAAAAAAGGGGGAUUGCCUGAUAUGUAAAUGAACUGUGGAAGUUGUUGAGAUUGUUUAAAUC
rnacentral:lncRNA from 1 species